GCUUCUGAGAGAGAUCUGUGAGGCUGUGCAAACAAAGCCAGCCAUUCAUUUCUUCUAUGCUGCGGAGGCCAGUUUGGCAGCAGGUGCCUGACAACACUACGACAGAGUAACUGAAAGCCUGGGACAGGUUUCCUCACGGUGAUGUUUAAGGAAAGUGAGAGAACAGCUCAGUACAGAGCAGCGGGCAGUUCUGAGAGAAAGUAGCCUCCGAAGACAGGACAAAAGCGAUCACGGUUGGGGCUCCCGCACGGUUGCACAAAGCUGGGCAGCUCACUUGACUCUGCUCAACUCUGGGCUUGCUGUCUGAGUCUCCAGCCACCCCCUGGCAGCCCCUCAACAAGCUCAGCACUUGAUUCCUACAGUGUCCAUGCCAGCCUUCUGCCUGCCCUGCAGGAAAGCCUCUUUGGAGCAACUUGGACUCUGCUAUACUAUAUUUAAGGCUUUGCAGAUAUCCUGUGACCUACAUGUAUUGUAUGUCAUUGCAUUUGCUGUGUGAUGUGUGACUGAAGAGUUCACAGUUGUAAUUAAGAUGGAAAUAAAGUAACUUGUGUUUGCCAGUUAAGGGCAACAGGAUUCUUUUCGCAAGUUGCAACCAAUGAAAAUCUCUAGACUAUGAGUUUAUUGUUAUUUACA